UGCCGUCUUAACAUCCAUUUGAUGGACAUUUAGAUUAUAUAUUGAUGCCAAAGCAAAUAAUACUCUUAUUGAGGAGAUUCAAUUGCCUUUCUUUUAUUGUUAGAAGAAGAACUAGGUUCUGCACAAUUUUCUUGAGUUACUGCAUUAUCACCAAUGCUUGUUGCAUUACCAUCUUGUUUAGUAAUUUCUGUGUCCUCAUGUGAAUUAUUAGAGUCACCAAUGAACUUUGUUUCCAAGAACUCAACAUCUUUAGAUUCCACAA